AGUCGGCGGGGUCUUCGUCGGCAAGCGAGGUUCCGGUUGAGAAUCAAGGACCUGUUUCGGAUCGUGGAUCGGAAUCUGGAGAGCCGGAGCUAGGAUCCUCUGAUCCGCAAGAUAUGGAUGAAGAGAAGCCUCAACUGAUGUAGUGAUGUGCCUGUGAUGAAGAUCUCUCCUGAAGCCGACACAAACCCUGAAGCUGAUGCCUUGACGACACCUACAAUAGCAGGUGAAGUGGUGUGAGAAGUCGAAGGCGGGGAAGAAGCAAGCUAAGGCUCCAUGGGGAAGCUACUUUCUCAGUAUUCUCAGGUAGGUUAAGUUUCAUCAGUGAUUGUUUUUUUAAUUGGUUUGAUCUAAUAGUCUGUGAAUUGCGGAUUUAGAGUUUAGCAGUGUGCAGUUCGUGUAAUAUUUUUAGUUAAAGUUUGGCCUUUCAGUUCAUGAGGAACUGAGUUUAGUUGUAUGCAUGUCUGGUUCUUUUAUAUUUUUUUCCCACAUACCUCAUAAGUAUGUUGUUAUGUAUGUGUCUCUGUGAUUUUUUGUGGUCUGUAAGUUGGGCAUUGAGGGUUUAGCAUUGUGCAGUUUGUGUAAUAUUUCUUUUGUAAAGGUUUGGUCUUUAUGCUCAACCAGUUUAGUUGACUUCAUGUUUGGUUCUUUUAUAUUUUUCGACAGAACUAUGUUAUUAUGUCUGAGAAUUUUCUACUUCUUAACUAUGAUACUUCUGUUUCUAACUGUCCCAAUGCAUGUUUCUAUGUAAUUUCAUAACUCACACCGUAUCAUGAGGGGCAAUGUAUUCACUGUUGGACGCCGAGGAUGUGAUUUAUCUAUCAAAGACCAAUCUAUGCCCAGCACCCUUUGUGAAAUCAAGCAGUCUGAUCAAAGAGGUCCGUCGGUUGCAACUCUGGAGAUGUUGGUUUAGAAGGAAGCGAUGAGAUUCAUGAAGAAAUCCUUACCUCUGUCACAACCAACCACCAAGGCCAGGAAGUGUGCCUUGAUCACAAAUUCUCAGACGGACAUCUCAAAGUUUGAAGAAAAGAAAUCUUUUAUAUUUACUUCUUCAACGAACAAGGAACUUGGCCCAAUUUUUCAAAAAAUUAUGUAUCUAAGUUUUUCUUAUUUUAACGUCAAGCUCAUUAGGACCCAAUAAGAUAUUGCAUAUAGAUCUUAUAUAUUGA